AUAAUAAUAAAAUAAGAGAGUAAUAUAGUUCGCUUGAAGCAGUGUGUAUUGCUUGCAAAGAAUAAAAAGUUUUGAAUGGUACAGCAAUGCACUAUAAUACAAACAAUGGACGAUAUACC